rnacentral:rRNA from 1 species
GAUGAACGCUAGCGGCAGGCUUAAUACAUGCAAGUCGUGGGGCAGCAUGAAUGUAGCAAUACAUUUGAUGGCGACCGGCAAACGGGUGCGGAACACGUACACAACCUUCCUAUAAGUGGGGAAUAGCCCAGAGAAAUUUGGAUUAAUACCCCGUAACAUAACGAUGUGGCAUCACAUUGUUAUUAUAGCUUCGGCGCUUAUUGAUGGGUGUGCGGCUGAUUAGAUAGUUGGCGGGGUAACGGCCCACCAAGUCUACGAUCAGUAGCUGAUGUGAGAGCAUGAUCAGCCACACGGGCACUGAGACACGGGCCCGACUCCUACGGGAGGCAGCAGUAAGGAAUAUUGGUCAAUGGACGCAAGUCUGAACCAGCCAUGCCGCGUGAAGGAUUAAGGUCCUCUGGAUUGUAAACUCCUUUUAUCUGGGACGAAAAAAGGCUUUUCUAAGUCACUUGACGGUACCAGAUGAAUAAGCACCGGCUAACUCCGUGCCAGCCGCCGCCGUAAAAC